GGGACACUCUUCCAGACUGAAAGCCCUCAGUCUGGCAGCAUUCUAACAGAGGAGACUGAGGUCAAGGGCACCCUGGAAGGUGAUGUUUGUGGUGUGGAGCCUCCUGGCCCAGGAGACACAGUAGUCCAGGGAGACCUGCAGGAGACCACUGUGGUGACAGGCCUGGGACCAGACACACAGGACCUGGAAGGCCAGAGCCCUCCACAGAGCCUGCCUUCAACCCCCAAAG
rnacentral:lncRNA from 1 species